AACGAACGCUGGCGGCAUGCCUAACACAUGCAAGUCGAACGAGACCUUCGGGUCUAGUGGCGCACGGGUGCGUAACGCGUGGGAACCUGCCCUUAGGUUCGGAAUAACUCCCCGAAAGGGGUGCUAAUACCGGAUAAUGUCUUCGGACCAAAGAUUUAUCGCCUUUGGAUGGGCCCGCGUUGGAUUAGCUAGUUGGUAGGGUAAAAGCCUACCAAGGCGACGAUCCAUAGCUGGUCUGAGAGGAUGAUCAGCCACACUGGGACUGAGACACGGCCCAGACACCGAGGGGAGGGGGAAGGGGGGAGCAUUGGUCACUGGACGAAAGCCUGAUCCAGGAGGGUGGCGUGUGUGAGGAGGUCCUUAGGGUUGUAAAGCGCUUUUACCGGGGAUGAUAAAGCCGGUACCGGGAGAAUACGCUCCGGCUAACCCCGAGCCAGCAGCCGCGGUAAUGUCGGAAGAGCACCCGUCCGAUC
rnacentral:rRNA from 1 species